rnacentral:lncRNA from 1 species
CUCUCCUUCCUGCAGAGUGACUAGGCCCAGGAAUGCUCAGUGGGGAGGCCAAAAGGUGGGGAGGCAUUUGUUUUGUUGUUAUUGUUGUUGUUUUGCUGCUAGGGAUUAAACCCAAGAGAGCCUGACCACGGAGCCAACACCUUUCCUUUUGAGAUAGGGUCUCACUAAAUUGCUGAGGCUGGCCUGGAACUUGGGAUCCUUCUGCCUCAGCCUCCGGAGUCCCUGGGAUUAAGGUGUGCGACACUGCGCCCCGUAGGCAUUCUAUGUCUGUAUUCUGCAGACACAGCGCAGGGCUAGUAAGAGCAGGACCGGCCACUCUGGGCUCGCUGAGGAAAACAACGUGGGCAAAGGAGGUCCUAAGAAGCCCAGAGGCAAAGGCCUGCAGGUGCACUCUUUGCGCAAACUUGCCUGGAGGAGCCCAAGGAGAAGCACCCAGAUGCUCUCGUCAAGUUCCCAAAGUUUUCUAAGAUGUGCUCAGAGAGGUGGCAGAUCAUGUCUGCUAAGGACACAGCCCUGUUGAGAGCCAUCUGUGAACUGCUUGUGGACCCAACCGGCAUCUCAGCCAGUGAAGAGGGAAGUCUGGAAUCUGGGGACUUCGAGGAGGGGCACUCCUGUAGGCGACACCGCCCAGAGGCAGGUGAGCUCCUGUCAGCUCUGCCAGAUGGGGGGCCUGCUCAGCCACAGAGCCCCACAGGCUCUCAGAGAUGGGUGUGGCCUGCCAAGAUGCCAAUCAACCUGCUGACUGCAAGACCUCACAGCAAGGCGCCGCCCCUGAAACCUCAUCCCUGCCUUUGAUGGACCCCUUGAGUGAGCCACCAGAGCCGUUUUCCAACGGUUCUGUUCCAGCUCCUACCAGGACUGAAGCAGCCGUCAGACGCUCUGCUUUAAAACGGAUUCUGACUUUCUCUUAUGUCUUCACGAAUCACUCCAGACUGGAUUUUUCUCAGGUGGUUUAUCCCCUCCUGAGCAGGAAAAAUUACCCUGGCAAAGUGCUGGCCAUCUACUGUACUGCCCGUGAUGAAAGAGAAACAAGAACUACGUCCCUCCUAACGGGGAAGUAAAAAGAGGUUCAAGGAUCCCAUGCACCCAAGAGGCCUCCAUCAGCCAUGUUCUUGUUCUGUUCUGAGUAUCGCCCCCAAAUCAAAGGAGAACAUUCCAGCUUAUCCAUGAGUGAUUUGCAAAGAAACUGGGAGAGAUGUGGAGCCCGGCGCGGUGGGUGGGGCACAUAUCUGUGAUCCCAGAAGCUCAGGAGGCUGAGGCAGGAGGAUCUCGAGCUCAAAGCCAGCCUCAGCAAAAAGUGAGAUGCUAAGCAACUCCAUGAGACCCUGACUCUAAAUAAAAUACAAAAUAGGGCUGGGGAUGUGGCUCAGUGGUCGAGUGCCCCUGAGCUCAAUCCCUGGUACAAAAAAAAAAAAUUAGUUGUAUAUGGGGACGGUAGUGUUCAUCUUCAGUUGUCUCUGAUGGAGUUUAUACAAAAU